UAGAAGAGUGUGCGCUGAUAGUCCCUUACAUAUUUUUCUAGAAAUUACCCACAAUCCCCCUUUAUUGGAAUUUCUUGAGAACGUCACUGUCCAUGAAGAUUAGAAAUCUCUAAUCUUCAUGCUUACAACCACGAUUAAUUGAGAUGACAUAAUUAAAAAACUUGAAGGCACAAAAGGACACGAUGCAGUGUAACCAUAUUAGAUAAAUAGUUAUGAAUUAAUUCUAUGAUAC